rnacentral:lncRNA from 1 species
CUUGCACCGGAGCAGGAGGGGAGGGGGGGCUCAUUGUUUCUUGGGAACCCCACAAAAGUACUUAAGAUAAAAAGAAUAAAAGCAAAGAGGACUUUCCCAGACAACCACACUCUUUAAUUUAGAAACAACGAAUGUUCAUUUGCAGGCAUGAGAAAUUCACACAUUCACGAGAAUGGGGGAGGGUUGAAGGAGAGGACGUUACAAAGGGGAGUGCCGAUAAGGAUUUAGUCACCGUAGACUACCCGUGUUUAUGAUUUUUCUUUUUCUAGUUCUGACCUGAUAAAUUCCAUUUCACGUCUUGUCAGGGCUAAGAAAUGUCGUCUUCUCCUGCAGAUUCAGGCUGGCAACUGUGUGCAGUUUGACCAACUGGAAAGAGACCAAGCUCCCGCCCUGCAACCCUGGCGUGGCUCGACUGCGCCCCAGCGAAUAUGUCCUCUGAAGACCUGCCUCGCUUCAGCCUCAUCCGAGAAUACUUCUCGGAUGAGGAAUGGAGCGCCAUGUCAUUCUACGUGAAGUCAAGGAUGACCAAUCUCAAGGAAAACUACGAUCUUCUCCUAGGAAUGGAUUCAAGCUGGCAAGCGUGUGCAGUUUGACCAACUGGAAAGAGACCAAGCCGCCCUGCGAGAAAUAUUACCACAGCGUCACUUCGGCAUCCCGCCCUGCAACUGCAACUUGACUGCGUCUGAAAGAAAAUCUGUUCUGAAGAUCUGCCUUGCUUCAUGAACCGUUGGGAGACCCUUCAGACGGCUGAUGGGUAAAGGCUGGCUUCCCAAGGACUGACGACGAGGAAGAGUGGUGCAUGGAUGGCUUAAAGAAAACACUCGUGCAAGGGUGCCUGCAACCCACAGAAAAACGGACAAGUAGAAAGAGUAGUCAAGAUAUUGGUUCCUGUAGUUGUUGCAUCCAUGCAAAAUGGAUCUCACGGCGAUUUGGAUGCGAGGAAAGGAGAUUCAUAUUAGAAAUAGCGCAAAUAAAAGGAGGUCCGGCGUGAUUUCAACACUUUCUUGUCUUCCUUGGCCAAGUGCGUGGGAGUCAUCUUCCGUUUAGUUUUUAUGUCAGUUGUUACAAAUGUUUCUGUUGCCUUGCGCAUAGUCGGUGGCAAGUAUUGUUGUUUUUUUUUAUUUGAAGCUUCCCUCGACUGGUAAACUGGUCUCCCACUCCGUUGUUUGUCAGAGAUGCGAUUCAGUGAAUUUCCUUAAUGCUUAUUUUGAUUUAGAUAUUUCUUUUACCAUGUUCAUACUGUGGUUGCACAUGGCCUGCACAUAACGUCAUCCCAGCAUGCCCGUGGUCAUUCCUAUGUGUUCAGGAGAAAAACAAACGAGGAGGUGCAUUGCUUAUACAUGCUCGGCAGUUAGCUGACCACCCCCAUAGCAGCUGGUGCGAUAUCGAUGCAAGCCAUUUAUACAAGUUUUCCUCGCAUUUUCUAGCAUAGAGCAGGUGCCCAAUAUGUACUCGUGUACGCAGUGUCUUCUCGAAAACAAUCUUUUUUCUGCAUAAAAAUGCAGAACUAUGGUCACUGACAGCAUGAGAAUGGCAGGGAGAUCUUCCAGUUGCCCUGCCUUGAAUGCUAGCUUUAUAUCUUCUAGAGCUCUUUGGCAUCUCGUGGGCCACGAACGUGCACACACAGCCAAAGUACGACAGGAGGAAACGAUUGCACGCUGGACGCCAGGCAUCCGGAAGAUACUCUGCCGUUCUCACCCUGCCAGUGUCGAUACUCCGUUCGCCUUUAGGCCGAGACUGCAGCCAGAGCUAGAACCGCGAGCUAGCUGCGCUUCCUACUUUGAAAUGUGAGUUUCAAGCGCAUGCGCGUGUACUGUGGAAGAAUGUUUUAAAGCCGAGGUCCCGUUCUGUCGCGUUUCUAGCCUCAGCUGCAGUCCCAGCUUAAAGGGGCC